rnacentral:rRNA from 1 species
AGCGAACGCUGGCGGCAGGCCUAACACAUGCAAGUCGAACGAAGUCUUCGGACUUAGUGGCGGACGGGUGAGUAACACGUGGGCACGUGCCUUUAGGUUCGGAAUAACUCAGGGAAACUUGUGCUAAUACCGAAUGUGCCCUUCGGGGGAAAGAUUUAUCGCCGUUAGAGCGGCCCACGUCUGAUUAGCUAGUUGGGGCAGUAAAGGCUCACCAAGGCGACGAUCAGUAGCUGGUCUGAGAGGAUGAUCAGCAACAUUGGGACUGUGACACGACCCAAACUCCUACGGUAGGCAGCGGAGGAGAAUAUUGCGCAAUGGGCGAAAACCUGACGCAGCAAUGAAACGUGAAUGAUGAAGGUCUUAGGAUUGUAAGAUUCUUUCUCCGAGGAAGAUAAUGACGGUACCCGGAGAAGAAGCCCCGGCUAACUUCGUGCCAGCAGCCGCGGUAAAAC